GGCUUGAUAGCUCAGUUGGUAGAACACUGCACCGGUAUCGCAGAGAUCAUUGGUUCGAACCCCGUUCAAGCCU